rnacentral:rRNA from 1 species
GGGAAUCUGCCCUUGGGUUCGGAAUAACAGUGAGAAAUUACUGCUAAUACCGGAUGAUGUCUCCGGACCAAAGAUUUAUCGCCCAAGGAUGAGCCCGCGUAGGAUUAGGUAGUUGGUGGGGUAAUGGCCUACCAAGCCGACGAUCCUUAGCUGGUCUGAGAGGAUGAUCAGCCACACUGGGACUGAGACACGGCCCAGACUCCUACGGGAGGCAGCAGUGGGGAAUAUUGGACAAUGGGCGAAAGCCUGAUCCAGCAAUGCCGCGUGAGUGAUGAAGGCCUUAGGGUUGUAAAGCCCUUUUACCCGGGAUGAUAAUGACAGUACCGGGAGAAUAAGCUCCGGCUAACUCCGUGCCAGCAGCCGCGGUAAUACGGAGGGAGCUAGCGUUGUUCGGAAUUACUGGGCGUAAAGCGCGCGUAGGCGGCUGCUCAAGUCAGAGGUGAAAGCCCGGGGCUCAACCCCGGAACUGCCUUUGAAACUAGGUAGCUAGAAUCUUGGAGAGGUCAGUGGAAUUCCGAGU